UAUAAAUUAAUAAAUUCUUCCGUUCCGAGUUGAGAUCAAUGUAAAAAUUGAUACAAAU
rnacentral:sRNA from 1 species